CGUUCCCGGGCCUUGUACACACCGCCCGUCACACCAUGGGAGUUGGUUUUACCCGAAGCCGGUGGGCUAACCCGCAAGGGAGGCAGCCGACCACGGUAAGGUCAGCGACUGGGGUG
rnacentral:rRNA from 1 species